rnacentral:rRNA from 1 species
GACGAACUGUGCAAACGUUUAUUCGGAAUCACUGGGCUUGAAGAGUGCGUAGGCGGUUUCGUAAGUAGGGUGUGAAAGCCCCCAGCUCAACUGGGGAACUGCGUCCUAAACUGCGAGGCUGGAGUGAGGUAGGGGUGUGUGGAACUUCCGGUGGAGCGGUGAAAUGUGUUGAUAUCGGAAGGAACGCCGGUGGCGAAAGCGACACACUGGGCCUUGUCUGACGCUGAGGCACGAAAGCCAGGGGAGCAAACGGG